AGUAUAGAUUACGCUGAUGUCAUUGUUACAAAUAUUGUCAAGUUAACUGAAUUUAACAUUGGAAUUGGUUAAAAUAUGAACAAGAAAUUUAUAUUUUCUAAUAUUUUUUUAUUUCUUUCAAUUAAUUUUAUCUUCAUUUCAGAUACAAUCGGCGAAUCAUCUGAAGAAAUUAAGGAUCAAAAUGUGAACUGUAACUCCAUGGUAGCUGGUGAAAACAAAUCUUGGAACGAGUACUGUGAUUCAAAAGGUAUGGGCACUUGCAAACAAGACAGCGGAAGCCCUCCAGAGUGUACGUGUUCUGAAGGGGAGAUUUUUCGCCGUGCUCAGAGGGAAUGCGUGAAGGGUAAGUGAUCAGUUCAAGACCCGCUCUCGCCCUAUUGAAGGAAUGAUUACCAAAGAACGUUCCUUAGAAUUAUCUAACGUUUCACAUAUAUUUCUUAAUGAAAAUUUUUGUUAUUGUUUAUAAAACCGAAUCGUUUUCUCUUUUUUAAAUUUCAGCUUUUAAAUGUUCUUACGAACGCCUGCUUUUUGAAAUACUAUCAGCUUUCCUUUUAAUCCCAGAAUAUCUAAAUUCGGAGAUUUUAGAGAUAAGCGACGUGGUUAAUUCCAUUUUCUAGCACAAAAAAUUUUGAGAAGAACACAUUCCGUAGAGCUGUUCCCGUCCAGUACCGAGUAAUAUUACGGAAAAUAUAUCUUUUAUAAAUUCCCUUAAUACCGAAACCAGUUAAUCUUAAUUGUUAUCUACGAAAAAUCGUUUUUAUGGACGCCGUGUUAUGAUAGCGAAAAUUAGUGGAAAUCUUAAUUUGCAGAUAAAUAGCGAAGGAGACCUUACUUUCUGCAUUUCGUUGAAUUUGAAUGUGUUACUUGGAAAUGGACUUACUCAAUUUUUAGCCGUCUUAGAAUAAAAGGAUUUUUGGUUUGUUGGUUCGAUGUUGGAGAGAAGUAAAAUCGGAAUUGCUGACCAUAUCUGAUUUUGUGAAACUAUAAUCGGGAAAUAUUUACUAUGGCCGAUGCUGUUCUCAGUUUAGAUUAACGAACCAUUCGUUCGGUUUAUGAAGGCCGGUUAGCUCAGUUGGUUUUCCUAAAAAAGUCUUCAUCAGUUUAGACUUAAGAAUGCUUAUUUGAUUCCAGUCAAAUGCAGGUUAUGUAAAGGUUAUGUAAGGCUACUUUGCCAUUCUGAACAGGUGCUACUCAAAAAUGAAGUUUCGGCGUUAUCGGUAUAUUUGAAAUACGCACUGAUCUUACAAGAUGAAUGCAUAAACAAUGUGUGACCUGAAACUCGUCGCUAGGGCGAAGCGCUCGAUUGGAAACUUAGUCGAAUUAAUGGAGAAUACGCAAUCGCUUUCCUCAUUCAGUUCUCAUGAAAAUUUGAACUGUGACUCCAUCGUAACCGGUGAAAACAAAUCUUGGAAAGAGUACAGUACAACAAACAGCUUGGGCACUCGCACACA
rnacentral:lncRNA from 1 species